rnacentral:rRNA from 1 species
AUUGAACGCUGGCGGCAGGCCUAACACAUGCAAGUCGAACGAGUGGCGGACGGGUGAGUAAUGUCUGGGAAACUGCCCGAAGGAGGGGGAUAACUACUGGAAACGGUAGCUAAUACCGCAUACCAUCGGAUGUGCCAAGAUGGGAUUAGCUUGUAGGUGAGGGAACGGCUAACCUAGGCGACGAUCCGUAGCAGGUCUGAGGGGAUGACCAGCCAACCGGGGACUGAGACACGGUCCAGACUCCUACGGGAGUCAGCAGUGGGGAAUAUUGCACAAUGGGCGCAAGCCUGAUGCAGCCAUGCCGCGUGUAUUAAGAAGGCCUUCGGGUUGUAAAGGACUUUCAGCGGGGAGGCGUUACCCGCAGAAGAAGCACCGGCUAACUCCGUGCCAGCAGCCGCGGUAAUUC